rnacentral:ncRNA from 2 species
UAGACCGUCGUGAGACAGGUUA